UGAGGAAUAUUGCGCAAUGGGCGAAAGCCUGACGCAGCGACGCCGCGUGGGUGACGAAGGCCUUCGGGUCGUAAAACCCUGUCGGGUGGAACGAAUCUCCGCCCUCCGAAUAGGGAGGCGGAUUGACGGUACCACCGAAGGAAGCCCCGGCUAACUACGUGCCAGCAGCCGCGGUAAUACGUAGGGGGCGAGCGUUGUUCGGAUUUACUGGGCGUAAAGAGCGCGUAGGCGGUUCGAUUAGUCGGAGGUGAAAUCCCUCGGCUCAACCGAGGAUCCGCGUCCGAUACUGUCGAACUUGAGUGCAGGAGAGGAGAGCGGAAUUCCCAGUGUAGCGGUGAAAUGCGUAGAUAUUGGGAGGAACACCAGUGGCGAAGGCGGCCUCCUGGGCCGCACCUGACGCUCAGACGCGAAAGCUAGGGGAGCGAACGGGAUUAGAUACCCCGGUAGUCCUAGCUGUAAACGAUGUGGACUUGGCGUCGGUGGGGUCAAACCUGCCGGUGCCGCAGCCAACGCGCUAAGUCCACCGCCUGGGGACUACGGCCGCAAGGUUA
rnacentral:rRNA from 1 species